rnacentral:rRNA from 1 species
CUGCUGCCUCCCGUAGGAGUUUGGUCCGUGUCUCAGUACCAAUGUGGGGGGUUGACCUCUCAGUCCCCCUAUGUAUCGUCGCCUUGGUGAGCCGUUACCUCACCAACUAGCUAAUACAACGCAUGUCCAUCUCUGACCACCUGAGUUUUCAACCACCGAAGAUGCCUCCGGUGAUGUUAUGGGGUAUUAGUACCAAUUUCUCGAUGUUAUCCCCCUGUCAAAGGUAGGUUACAUACGCGUUACGCACCCGUCCGCCGGUCGCCGGCA